rnacentral:rRNA from 1 species
UACGGGAGGCAGCAGUGGGGAAUAUUGCACAAUGGGCGCAAGCCUGAUGCAGCCAUGCCGCGUGUAUGAAAAAGGCCUUCGGGUUGUAAAGUACUUUCAGUCGUGAGGAAGGUGUUAAGGUUAAUAACCUUAGCAAUUGACGUUAGCGACAGAAGAAGCACCGGCUAACUCCGUGCCAGCAGCCGCGGUAAUACGGAGGGUGCGAGCGUUAAUCGGAAAUUACUGGGCGUAAAGGGCACGCAGGCGGUUAAUUAAGUUGGAUGUGAAAUCCCCGGGCUUAACCUGGGAAUGGCAUUCAAGACUGGUUAGCUAGAGUCUUGUAGAGGGGGUAGAAUUCCAUGUGUAGCGGUGAAAUGCGUAGAGAUGUGGAGGAAUACCGGUGGCGAAGGCGGCCCCUGGACAAAAGACUGACGCUCAUGUGCGAAAAGCGUGGGGAGCAAAACAGGAUUAGAUACC